ensembl:lncRNA
CUGAUGUGUAGAAGAUGUGAGGUGUCUAAUGUAACAGACCCUCUCUGGACCUGAUGUGUAGAUGAUGUGAGGUGUCUAAUGUAGCAGACCCUCUCUGGACCUGAUGUGUAGAUGAUGUGAGGUGUCUAAUGUAACAGACCCUCUCUGGACCUGAUGUGUAGAAGAUGUGAGCCACGAACAUUUCUGAAACAGAGGAUCCAACUGCUUUGUGAAAAGCUUCAUGUACAGUUUUGAAGAUGUUUCUUAUGAAAGAAAUGUAAAAUUAACAGCCUGAUUUUUAAUUUGUGAUUUAUUUUGUUUUUAUGAAAAUGUAGAAGUGCAAUUUACAGUCUUUCUU